CCCAGACUCCUACGGGAGGCAGCAGUGAGGAAUAUUGGUCAAUGGGCGCGAGCCUGAACCAGCCAAGUAGCGUGAAGGAUGACUGCCCUACGGGUUGUAAACUUCUUUUAUAAAGGAAUAAAGUGAGGCACGUGUGCCUUUUUGUAUGUACUUUAUGAAUAAGGAUCGGCUAACUCCGUGCCAGCAGCCGCGGUAAUACGGAGGAUGCGAGCGUUAUCCGGAUUUAUUGGGUUUAAAGGGUGCGUAGGCGGAAUGCCAAGUCAGGGGUAAAAUCGCGGGGCUCAACCUCGCUCCGCCGUUGAAACUGGCGUUCUUGAGUGGGCGAGAAGUAUGCGGAAUGCGUGGUGUAGCGGUGAAAUGCUUAGAUAUCACGAAGAACUCCGAUUGCGAAGGCAGCUUACUAAACUGCCACUGACAUUGAUGCUCGAAAGUGUGGGUAUCAAACAGGAUUAGAUACCCCCGUAC
rnacentral:rRNA from 1 species